rnacentral:RNase_P_RNA from 1 species
CAGGCUUGGCGGACGGUCGCUGCGAGAUUCUUGUCUUGUGGAGGAAAGUCCGGACACCGUAGAGCAGGAGGUCCGGUUGAAAAGCCGGAUGCCAUGGACCAUAUUCCAUGGUAAGGAAAGCGCAACAGAAAAGAUACCGCCCCUAGGGUAAGGGUGAAAUGGUGAGGUAAGAGCUCACCGCGUUGUCAGGAGACUGCGGCGGCAGUGCAAGCCCCCUCCGGUGCAAGACCAAAUAGGAGACGACGGCGCUGCUCGCGCCUAAUUGCCGUAAGCGGCUGUUAAGUCUCGGGUAUCGGUCGCUUAGAUGAAUGAUCGUCGCCGUGUUUAAUGCGCGGUACAGAAUCCGGCUUACAGCCAGGCCUGCUCU